rnacentral:rRNA from 1 species
UUGACCUCGAANCAGGUAGGGUUACCCGCUGAACUUAAGCAUAUCAAUAAGCGGAGGAAAAGAAACCAACAGGGAUUGCCUUAGUAACGGCGAGUGAAGCGGCAACAGCUCAAAUUUGAAAUCUGGCGUCUUCGGCGUCCGAGUUGUAAUUUGCAGAGGAUGCUUUUGGCGACGUGCCUUCCGAGUUCCCUGGAACGGGACGCCAAAGAGGGUGAGAGCCCCGUACGGUCUGGUGCCGAGCCGCUGUAAAGCUCCUUCGACGAGUCGAGUAGUUUGGGAAUGCUGCUCUAAAUGGGAGGUAAACUCCUUCUAAAGCUAAAUAUUGGCCAGAGACCGAUAGCGCACAAGUAGAGUGAUCGAAAGAUGAAAAGCACUUUGAAAAGAGAGUCAAAUAGCACGUGAAAUUGUUGAAAGGGAAGCGCUUAUGACCAGACUUGGGCUUGGUAGUUCAGCCGUCCUUUUGGGCGGUGUAUUCUGCCGGUUCAGGCCAGCAUCAGUUGCUGUUGGGACAGAAAAGCCUGGGAAUGUGGCUCUUCGGAGUGUUAUAGCCCAUGGCGUAAUUUCCCUCCGGCGACUGAGGUUAGCGUUCUUCACGGAUGCUGGCGUAAUGGUUUUCAACGACCCGUCUUGAAACACGGACCAAGGAGUCGUCCUGCUAUGCGAGUGUUCGGGUGUCAAACCCCUACGCGUAAUGAAAGUGAACGGAGGUGAGAGCUUCGGCGCAUCAUCGACCGAUCCUGAUGUUCUCGGAUGGAUUUGAGUAAGAGCAUAGCGGGCCGGACCCGAAAGAAGGUGAACUAUGCUUGGAUAGGGCAAAGCCAGAGGAAACUCUGGUGGAGGCUCGCAGCGGUUCUGACGUGCAAAUCGAUCGUCAAAUCUGAGCAUGGGGGCGAAAGACUAAUCGAACCUUCUAGUAGCUGGUUUCCACCGAAGUUUCCCUCAGGAUAGCAGUGCUGAUACUCAGUUUUAUGAGGUAAAGCGAAUGAUUAGGGACUCGGGGGCGCUAUUUAGCCUUCAUCCAUUCUCAAACUUUAAAUAUGUAAGAAGUCUUUGUUGCUUUAGUGAACGAAGAACUUUGAAUGUACAGCACUAGUGGGCCAUUUUUGGUAAGCAGAACUGGCGAUGCGGGAUGAACCGAUCGCGAGGUUAAGGUGCCGGAGUAGUCGCUCAUCAGACACCACAAAAGGUGUUAUCACAUCUUGACAGCAGGACGGUGGCCAUGGAAGUCGGAAUCCGCUAAGGACUGUGUAACAACUCACCUGCCGAAUGUGAUAGCCCUGAA